rnacentral:lncRNA from 1 species
CAUCAUACCCCAAUUUGAUCCAAAAUUUGAGUCGCUCUUUUCGGGUUUUCAACUCAAGUCCGCUUUGGUCUCAAGGCGCCCUUUGCAGGUUUUCACCUUGGCCUCUCCUUUUUCUUUUCAUUUCUUCUUUCUUUUCUUCUUUCCUUUCUUUUUUCUCUUUUCUCUUUUUUUUUUUUUUCUUUUUUUCUUUUUUGAAUAUGAACUUAUAGGAUUAGGCAUGUCCUUAUUAUCCUUUCCGAUCAAGAUUGAAGCUUUUCCAGAUAAGGCCUUCCUAGUUUGGCAUUCAUUUUAUAUGAGGAGGAUCUUCUUCAAUACCA